CCUACGGGGUGCAGCAGUGGGGAAUAUUGCACAAUGGGGGAAACCCUGAUGCAGCGACGCCGCGUGAGUGAAGAAGUAAUUCGUUAUGUAAAGCCCUAUCAGCAGGGAAGAAAAUGACGGUACCUGAGUAAGAAGCCCCGGCUAACUACGUGCCAGCAGCCGCGGUAAUACGUAGGGGGCAAGCGUUAUCCGGAUUUACUGGGUGGAAAGGGAGCGUAGACGGCAGUGCAAGUCUGGAGUGAAAGGCGGGGGCUCAACCCCCGGACUGCACUGGAAACGGUACGGCUGGAGUGCAGGAGGGGUAAGUGGAAUUCCUAGUGUAGCGGUGAAAUGCGUAGAUAUUAGGAGGAACACCAGUGGCGAAGGCGGCUUACUGGACGGUAACUGACGUUGAGGCUCGAAAGCGUGGGGAGCAAACAGGAUUAGAUACCCCAGUAGUC
rnacentral:rRNA from 1 species